rnacentral:rRNA from 1 species
UACGAAGGGGGCUAGCGUUGUUCGGAUUUACUGGGCGUAAAGCGCACGUAGGCGGCUUUGUAAGUUAGAGGUGAAAGCCCGGGGCUCAACUCCGGAAUUGCCUUUAAGACUGCAUCGCUAGAAUUGUGGAGAGGUAAGUGGAAUUCCGAGUGUAGAGGUGAAAUUCGUAGAUAUUCGGAAGAACACCAGUGGCGAAGGCGACUUACUGGACACAUAUUGACGCUGAGGUGCG